rnacentral:lncRNA from 13 species
AUGUAUUGUCAUGUUGUGUCUUGUUUCUGUCCUUUCCCUUCACCCUGUCUCCCUCUGCUGGUCGUUAUUAGGUUACCUUUUCUCCCCCUCUUUCCCCCAGCUGUUCCUUGUCCCCUCCUAACUACCUCGUCACCCCUUUUCCCACCUGUUCCCUUUUUCCCUCUGAUUAGUCCUCUAUAUCUCUCUCUGUUUUUGUUUCUGUCUUUGUCGGAUUCUCGCCAGGAGGCACUCGGUGAGUGGGGGGGUACUGUCAUGUAUUGUCAUGUUGUGUCUUGUUUCUGUCCUUUCCCUUCACCCUGUCUCCCUCUGCUGGUCGUUAUUAGGUUACCUUUUCUCCCCCGCUUUCCCCCAGCUGUUCCUUGUCCCCUCCUAACUACCUCGUCACCCCUUUUCCCACCUGUUCCCUUUUUCCCUCUGAUUAGUCCUCUAUAUCUCUCUCUGUUUUUGUUUCUGUCUUUGUCGGAUUCUUGUUUGUGUUAUUCAUGCCUGAACCAGACUAUCGUCAUGUUUGCUGCAACCUUGUCCUGUCCUGUCGGAAUCUGCCGGUCCAUCUGAGCCUACGUUUGUUUUGUUAUUAAAGAAGCUCUGUUUACGUUAAUUCGCUUUUGGGUCCUCAUUCACGCACCGUAACAGUGUUGGGUCAUUUUCACAGCUUUCUAUUUCCUUACAACCGGUCAAACUGAUGUCAUUUCGACAUUUUGUACAGAAAAUAUUUCCCGUGUUGUUUUAGUUAUUGCACAUUGUUCCAGGAUCCCUAAACGUCUUUGCUCCACUAAAGAGGAUGACAGAGAAAACUUUACCAAUGUCAACUGGAUUGAAGCAUUCAUUCUAUCAAUUUAUGACAUUAUUCUGUUGAACGAGGGUUUAUUUAGUCUUCUAGGGCAACACAUAAUGACAGAAGAGAAGCUUCAUGUAUCUAAUAUAGACAAGUUGACUAUGAAAUACCCUACAGAAAUGUCGGAAAUUAUAAGCAGGAACAUAUAUAAAUCCCCAAAACAAAAUCCUGCACCCUCUGACAAAAAAAACAUUGCGCCGUCUUUGGCUGUAAGCUAUAGCACAUUGUCUAUAUUUGCUGGUUAGGGUCGGGUGAGACACUCAGAUAUACCAUUACUUUCAGCCAAUCUGUCAUGUAUUGUCAUGUUGUGUCUUUCUGUCCUUUCCUUUCACCCUGUCUCCCUCUGCUGGUCGUACUAGGUUACCGUUUCUGUCCCUCUUUCCCCCAGCUGUUCCUUGUCUUCUCUGACUACCUCAUUCACCCCUUUUCCCACCUGUUCCCUUUUUCCCUCUGAUUAGGUCCCUAUAUCUCUCUCUGUUUCUGCUCCUGUCUUUGUCGGAUUCUUGUUUGUGUGUCUCAUGCCUGAACCAGACUAUCAUCGUGUUUGCUGCAACCUUGUCCUGUCCUGUCGGAAUCUACCUGUCCAUCUGAGCCCACGUGUGUUCAUCAUUAAAGAAACUCUGUUUGUUAAUUCGCUUUUGGGUCCUCAUUCACGCACCUGACAGAAGAAUCCGACCAAGAAUGGACCCAGCGACUUCGGAUCCUCUCCACUCAGCCGUCGAGAUCCAGGGAGCGAU